rnacentral:rRNA from 1 species
CCAGACUCCUACGGGAGGCAGCAGUAGGGAAUCUUCGGCAAUGGACGGAAGUCUGACCGAGCAACGCCGCGUGAGUGAAGAAGGUUUUCGGAUCGUAAAGCUCUGUUGUAAGAGAAGAACGAGUGUGAGAGUGGAAAGUUCACACUGUGACGGUAUCUUACCAGAAAGGGACGGCUAACUACGUGCCAGCAGCCGCGGUAAUACGUAGGUCCCGAGCGUUGUCCGGAUUUAUUGGGCGUAAAGCGAGCGCAGGCGGUUAGAUAAGUCUGAAGUUAAAGGCUGUGGCUUAACCAUAGUACGCUUUGGAAACUGUUUAACUUGAGUGCAAGAGGGGAGAGUGGAAUUCCAUGUGUAGCGGUGAAAUGCGUAGAUAUAUGGAGGAACACCGGUGGCGAAAGCGGCUCUCUGGCUUGUAACUGACGCUGAGGCUCGAAAGCGUGGGGAGCAAACAGGAUUAGAUACCCUGGUAGUCCACGCCGUAACGAUGAGUGCUAGGUGUUAGACCCUUUCCGGGGUUUAGUGCCGUAGCUAACGCAUUAAGCACUCCGCCUGGGGAGUACGACCGCAAGGUUGAAACUCAAAGGAAUUGACGGGGGCCCCGCACAAG